UCUCUCUCUCUGUCCUGUCUGUGAGUUUAGUUCUUCCUCUCCCUCCUCUCCUUUUUAAGGACCCAUCCAGUCAGACCCCUCCCUCUAUUUUUCUAUCUCUCUAUUAUCCUUUAAGUUGAAAUGGAAUUUAAAUUAACUUCCUGAAUUGACUUUGUACCGGGAAUAUUUAAAAUGAAUAAAGUGCAUAAUAAUUUUAGAGAUGAAAACAAUAUUCAUCAUAUUUAAUUGAAAUACACACGAUUUCAACUGUCCUGUCUGGGACAUUUGGGUUGAUGGUCACUAGAAUUGAAUCAGAAUGUUAUGGGUUAAACUCCAAUCCGUUGAUAGUGAUUGACGCCAGACUGGAGGAACAAGGACAGAGGACCCUGAUAUCUACUGUAGUCUCCGAACACUGUGAUUCUGUAGCGGCAAAUGAAGUCACAGAGGUUUAGAGAAACAAGCUUGUUUGGGCCUACUGACUCAGGUUUGAGCCCUACUGACUCAGGUUUAGAGAAACAAGCUUGUUUGGGCCUACUGACUCAGGUUCAGAGAAACAAGCUUGUUUGGGCCUACUGACUCAGGUUUAGAGAAACAAGCUUGUUUGGGCCCUACUGCCUCAGG